UACGGAGGGUGCAAGCGUUAUCCGAUUCACUGGGUUUAAAGGGUGCGUAGGCGGAUAGGUAAGUCCGUGGUGAAAUCCUGCAGCUUAACUGCAGACUGCCGUGGAUACUAUCUAUCUUGAAUAUCGUGGAGGUUAGCGGAAUAUGUCAUGUAGCGGUGAAAUGCUUGGAUAUGACAUAGAACACCCAUUGCGAAGGCAGCUAACUACGCGAUCAUUAACGCUGAUGCACGAAAGCGUGGGGGAUCAAACAGG
rnacentral:rRNA from 1 species